rnacentral:rRNA from 1 species
UACGGGGGGGGCAAGCGUUGUUCGGAAUUACUGGGCGUAAAGAGCUCGUAGGCGGUUUGUCGCGUCUGCUGUGAAAACCUAAGGCUCAACCUUGGGCUUGCAGUGGGUACGGGCAGACUAGAGUGCGGUAGGGGUGACUGGAAUUCCUGGUGUAGCGGUGGAAUGCGCAGAUAUCAGGAGGAACACCGAUGGCGAAGGCAGGUCACUGGGCCGCAACUGGCGCUGAGGAGCGAAAGCAUGGGGAGCGAACAGG